rnacentral:rRNA from 1 species
CCCUUAGAUGUUCUGGGCCGCACGCGCGCUACACUGACAGAGCCAACGAGUUCUUCACCUUGGCCGGAAGGUCUGGGUAAUCUUGUUAAACUCUGUCGUGCUGGGGAUAGAGCAUUGCAAUUAUUGCUCUUCAACGAGGAAUGCCUAGUAAGCGCGUGUCAUCAGCACGCGUUGAUUACGUCCCUGCCCUUUGUACACACCGCCCGUCGCUACUACCGAUUGAAUGGCUCAGUGAGGCCUUCGGACUGGCUCAGGGAGGUUGGCAGCGACCACCCCGAGCCGGAAAGUUCGUCAAACUCGGUCAUUUAGAGGAAGUAAAAGUCGUAACA